UUGCGGUUAAAAAGCUCGUAGUUGGAUUUCUGUUGAGGUCGGGCGGUGUACCCUUCGUGUAUUAUUUGCUUCGGUCUCGGCAUCCUCUUGGGGAACGUCAGGACUUCAUUGGACUGGCGAGAUUCAAGACUUUUACUUUGAGGAAAUUAGAGUGUUCACGGCAGGCAAGUGCUUUGAAUACAUUAGCAUGGAAUAAUAAUAUAGGACCUUCGUUCUAUUUUGUUGGUUCCUAGAACUUAGGUAAUGAUUAAUAGGGACAAUUGGGGGCAUUCGUAUUAACGCGUCAGAGGUGGAAUUCUUGGAUUGCGUUACGACGAACUACUGCGAAAGCAUUUGCCAAAGAUGUUUUCAUUGAUCAAGAACGAAAGUAUGGGGAUCGAAGACGCUUAGAUACCGUCGUAGUCUAUACCAUAAACUAUGCCCACCUAGGGAUUGGACGGGGUUAUCCCUAUGUGGC
rnacentral:rRNA from 1 species